UUGUGGUGCUGAGCUGUGCCAGCGAUGCCAGUCGUGAUGCCGCUGGUACCUCUGUGCUCUUGUUUGGCAGCCGAAUGGAAGCAGUGGGGAUUUUGCAAGGGAUGAGCAGCAAACAAACAAUUACUUCCACACGACUUUGCUGGGUAGGUCUAUAAUUCGUGAGUGACAGGGGGCCGGUGCUCUGAAAGCGAGCUGCUGACUGAUGGAUAACGGGGAUGAUGAGCUGCUGGCACAGGGCCAAGCGCACGGCGUUAGACAGCGAGUGGAAGGAGAAACGCAUUAUGCAAACCGUGGGGGAAAAGCAUCUGUUUUCCUCUCGCCCGCUCCCAGCACAACCUGCUGCUUAAACGGAACAAAGAUGCGGCUCUAGAAAGUGAAUCUUCUUGUUGGGGAAGAGAGAGGAAUGUUUGGGGUGUUGUUAGUGAAGUUCCUCUGAAGGAACGUGCAGCUGGGGCAU